GAACGGCGAGGUAAAGUCUGUGCCUUGCAGGAGGUGACCGCUGAUCCAGGGCCAGAUAAGACAUGCACACCGAAGUGUGGUACAGGCAUGGUACGGUGUGUCCUGUGAGAGAUCGGAGGAAAGUGCCGGAAGGUUUCCACAGCCUUCUGGAAAAUCGGGGCUUUUGGGAACACCUUCUUGAGCCUCUGCCUAAAGUCAUCGUGUCUCUGCCCCUGAGGACCCAAUGGUCAGAUGUAUGAAAUGUGUUUGGGAAGGAAAAUGAGCCUCAUAGAAUUUAAACAAUGCCGUGAAAGUUACACAGCUUUUAUGCGGAAAAGCCAGAACUCAAAUCCUGGUCAUCAACCACGAGGUUUUAUGCUUCUUCUACUAUGCCUUAUUGUCUCCCCAAGGAAACAGAAAGAGGUACCUUAAACACUAAUAAACUGAUACACAUGGCAAAGUUGCUGGUGUUCUAAUACUAUCUCUUCUCAACGGCUACCUAGAAAAUGCACUGAGUAAAGCUCCUGGAAUGCUCAACAACUGUGAAGAAUGAGAAGUAGAAAGAGCUUUUCAACAAAAGACAGCUCACCGGUAACACAGAGUUCCAGGAUCAGAUUUAACAACCAUCAUAAGAUGGGAGUAAAAGCCAUUAAUGAGUCUAUACUCUUUGCAAAUUUUAAAUCUUCCUCCUCCUCUUUUCAGCCUUCUAUGACGAAGAAACAUUA